UCAGAUUGAACGCUGGCGGCAGGCCUAACACAUGCAAGUCGAACGGUAACAUUUCUAGCUUGCUAGAAGAUGACGAGUGGCGGACGGGUGAGUAAUGCUUGGGAACUUGCCUUUGCGAGGGGGAUAACAGUUGGAAACGACUGCUAAUACCGCAUAACGUCUACGGACCAAACGGGGCUUAGGCUCCGGCGCAAAGAGAGGCCCAAGUGAGAUUAGCUAGUUGGU
rnacentral:rRNA from 1 species